rnacentral:rRNA from 1 species
UACGGGGGGGGCAAGCGUUGUUCGGAAUUACUGGGCGUAAAGGGCUCGUAGGCGGCCAACUAAGUCGGACGUGAAAUCCCUCGGCUUAACCGGGGAACUGCGUCCGAUACUGGAUGGCUUGAGUUUGGGAGAGGGAUGCGGAAUUCCAGGUGUAGCGGUGAAAUGCGUAGAUAUCUGGAGGAACACCGGUGGCGAAGGCGGCAUCCUGGACCAACACUGACGCUGAUGAGCGAAAGCCAGGGGAGCAAGCGGG